GCACGGGUGAGUAACGCGUAUGCAACCUACCUAUCAGAGGGGAAUAACCCGGCGAAAGUCGGACUAAUACCGCAUAAAACAGGGGCACCGCAUGGUGAUAUUUGUUAAAGAGAUUCGCUGAUAGAUGGGCAUGCGUUCCAUUAGGUAGUUGGUGAGGUAACGGCUCACCAAGCCGACGAUGGAUAGGGGAACUGAGAGGUUGGUCCCCCACACUGGUACUGAGACACGGACCAGACUCCUACGGGAGGCAGCAGUGAGGAAUAUUGGUCAAUGGGCGAGAGCCUGAACCAGCCAAGUCGCGUGAAGGAAGAAGGAUCUAUGGUUCGUAAACUUCUUUUGCAGGGGGAUAAAGUGCAGGACGUGUCCUGUUUUGUAUGUACCCUGAGAAUAAGGAUCGGCUAACUCCGUGCCAGCAGCCGCGGUAAUACGGAGGAUCCGAGCGUUAUCCGGAUUUAUUGGGUUUAAAG
rnacentral:rRNA from 1 species